rnacentral:lncRNA from 1 species
ACAUUUUCGUUGGUAAAGCUCCUAUUUGCUUUCUCUGAAUCUGUAUCAGUUCAUGCAGUUCUGCCAAGUGGGGAAGCUUUGCAGGACACUGCCACUGUAGCACUUGAAAUAUUAAGAUGAACAGAACAAGCAAAAGGUGGGAAAACUGGAAAGAUUGAAUGUCCUUUGGAGUUCACAGAGGUUUGGCAGUGGGAGGAGAAAAACAAAACGAAGCAUAGUGGGAGUGUUGAACAGACUUUCCCAAGAUCCCCAGGGAAAUCAACAAAGAGUAUUGCUUUCUUGCAAAUUGGCAGGAAGGUUUCCAGCAUAAUGAAAGAGUGCAGAAAAAACAAGUUAAUUCAAGGAUAAAACUGUGAAUAAGUAGAAGAGAAGACUACACCAGGAAAAGAGACGGAGAUAGAGGCCCAAUAGAGAUCAGUGGAGUGUUGCUGUUCUGGCCAUAAACCUCUGUGGACAGUGGCUCCUUUGCCAGGGUUUUGCUUGGGCCUACUGGGCUAGUUCUGCUCACUCAGCCUGCCAGGCUGUGCUCAGCACACACUACAUGCCUGGAUCCCAUGUCUGCCAAGGGCUAGUCAGGGGUGGAGCAGUGAGGGGUGUGUGAGUGAACAUGAAGUCUGGCCACUGCAGCUGGGUGGGCAGCUCCAGGUGCCGGCAUGGGCACCAGCUCUCUGUGAUGCUGUGGCUGAACCAGAUGCACUGCAAGCAGCUUCCACAGCUGGCACUGGAGGACGUGGUGACGCCCAGAAGCUUGGAGAUGCCAGGAACCACAGGGCCCCAAAGAGGAAGUGACAGCCCUGGCUAGAGGAGCUCCCAGAUCUAGGCUCCCUGAAGGCCCACAGCUCUUCUCUCCUCUUUGUCCGCAAUGUGGUGAGCAUGGGACAUGUUUCAGCCCUGUUUGUUUUACAGCUGUUUUAGCCCUGCCAUCCAACAGGUCCCAAGUUCUUGUCCUGCGACCAGGAAGAAUGAGAUACACAAAGAAGUGGAGGGUGAGCAAGAUGAGGAAUGGGUGUUCAGCUCUGAGCUGAAAGGAGACCCUGGAGUGGGAAGCUCCUCUCUACAGGCAGGUCAUUCCAUUGUCUCUGCAGCUCUCAGCAGAGAGGAGGCCUUGGUAUGGGUAGUACCUCUCUGCAGCUUGUCGUCCUGAUAUCCGCUCAGCUCUGGCUGAGCCCAGGGCUUUUAUGGGCCUCAGAGGGGAGAAAGUGCAUGCCAAUUCGUCCAUGGGUGGCCAUGGGCAGGCCCAGAAAAGGGACCACAAUUUUCCACUCUAGUGUACAGGACUGGCAGCCUAGUUUCCAGCCUUCAGACCCUCCCUGGCCUGAAGGUGGGGCCUCACCGGGGACCUGCCCCCUUAUGCCCAGGAACCUAUCUACCUCCUGCUGCUAUUCAUGGCGCCCAGACUAUCGGUGCCAAGGUGCAGCUGCAGGCCAGCACCGAGCUGCCCUCAGUGCCCCCUCAGCUUCCCUCCCAUGCUUGUCAGUGCCCAAAGUCCAGAGGGGGCUGAGGGGGCAGUGGGUUGGUGUGUCCAAACAUGUGCACAGUCAGCGGGGCUAUGACAGCACCUGGGCUUGGCUCUGACUUUGCUCCAAGAUCAAAACAGGUGCUGACAGCAGGGAGAAGCCAGCAAGCAAGAGCAGGCACUUCCAAGCCUGCAAGGUCAGGGGAGGCCUUCCCAGGCCCCCAAGAGAGCAGAGAUGCAGUGAUGCCUGGGUCUGCAGCUGCAGUUUCGGUGGCUGCAGCUGUGCCCAGGGGAGCACAGUUCCUGCCUGCUCUGUGGUGCUGGAGGCCUGGGUCCACAGCCGCAACUUGGGCUGCUGAAGCUGUGCCUAUGAGAGCUGGGCGCCACCCCUGCUCCCGGGCCCUGAGAGCACAGAGAUGCCUGGGUCCACAGCCAUCGCUUGGGAGGUUGCAGUGGAACUGGGAGAGCUCCCACUUCAACUCAGAAGGAGCAGGGCUCCCACUUGUCCCCAGCUCCUGCUGGCUCCAUGGAGUGUGCAGCCCCAGACAUGCCUCCCUGCUGCAGUCCACAUGAUGGCAGCAGCUUCUCCAGACAGCUGCCACUGCCAUCAAUAUCUUUUAUCAGUUUUUUAGUUUUCCUCAUAAAUAUAUGAGGGUAAUGUAUGUAUUUUGUUAGGUUUGUACCUAAGUAUUUCAUUUUGGGAAAUGUUAAUGUAAAUAAUAUUGUCUUUUAAAAUUCAAAAUUUCUUCUGUUCAUUGCUGGUAUGAAAGAAAGCAAUUGAUUUUUCUGUAUUAACUUUGUGUCCUGCAACCUUGCUGUAAUCAAUUAUUAAUUUCAGAGGUUUCUUUGGCUGAUUCUUUUGUAUUUUCUACGUAAAAACAUUGUGUCAUCUGUAAACAGAGAUAAUUUUUUCUUCCCAAAUAAUAUACAAUUUAUUUCUUUUAUUGUCUUAUAGCAUUAGAUGUGACAUGAAAGUGGUGAGAGGUGAUAUCCUUUAACUUGUUAUUGAUCUUUGCUUCCAGUUUCUCACCAUUAAGUAUGAUGUUUGUUGUAGAACAUUUGUGUAAGUGUUCUUUAUACAAUUGAGGAAGUUCCCCUCUAUUCCUAGUCUAUUGAGAGUUUUUAUCAUGACUGGGUGUUGGAUUUUCUCAAAUGCUUUUUCUGCACCUAUAAAUAGGAUCAUGUGAUUUUUCUUUUUUAAUUUUUUGAAGUCAUGCAUUACAUUAAUUGAUAUUCAAAGAUUGAACCAGUCUUGCAUGCCUGGAAUUAAUUCCUCUUGGUCAUAGUGUGUAAUUUUUUGUAUACAUUGUGGGAUUCAAUUUGCUAAUAUUUUGUUGAGAUUUUUACACCAAUUUUCAUGAGAGAUACUCUGUAGUUUUCUUAAACUGCCUUUGUUUGAUUUUGGUAUUAGGGUAAUGCUGGCCUCAUAGAAUAAGUUAGAAAAUAUUACUUCUGUUUCUGGCUUCUGAGGAAGACUAUACAGAAUUGGUAUAAUGUAUUUCUUACAUGUUUGCUAGAAUUCACAGGUAAAUACCUCUGGACCUGGCGCUUUCAGUUUUGGACAGUUAAUUAUUGAUUAAAUUGCUUUCAUAGGUAUCAGCCUAUUUAGAUUAUUUAUUUUUGUGUAAAAUUUUCUAUCAGGAAAUUAGUUCAUUUCAUCUAGAUUAUGAAAUCUGUUGGCAUAAAAUUGUUCAUAACAUUUCUUUACUAUCCUAUUAAUGUCCAUG